UCUUGGGGGAGGUCGAAAGUGCAAUAACGGCGCAGCCUUUGGGGGCUGGUACCUAGGGUUCUUUGUGGGGGGUGAUAAAUCAGAUUUUAAGUUUUUUUUAAGGUUUUAUUUUUUUUAAGUUUUUUUAAAGCGUGAAAUGGCACCGUUUGAGCCUCAUUACAAUGGCUUCAAAACGGUGCCGUAUCGUUCGACACUCGAUGACACGAUCCAAAUGCAGCGUGAUCCGCGUGUUUUGGUAGGGAGAGGGUUAUUUGCAACCAUGACCCCUCCACCUUGUAACAG
rnacentral:lncRNA from 1 species